UGGGGAAUUUUGGACAAUGGGGGAAACCCUGAUCCAGCCAUCCCGCGUGUGCGAUGAAGGCCUUCGGGUUGUAAAGCACUUUUGGCAGGAAAGAAACGUCAUGGGUUAAUACCCCGGGAAACUGACGGUACCUGCAUACUAUGCACCGGCUAACUACGUGCCAGCAGCCGCGGUAAUACGUAGGGUGCAAGCGUUAAUCGGAAUUACUGGGCGUAAAGCGUGCGCAGGCGGUUCGGAAAGAAAGAUGUGAAAUCCCAGAGCUCAACUUUGGAACUGCAUUUUUAACUACCGGGCUAGAGUGUGUCAGAGGGAGGUGGAAUUCCGCGUGUAGCAGUGAAAUGCGUAGAUAUGCGGAGGAACACCGAUGGCGAAGGCAGCCUCCUGGGAUAACACUGACGCUCAUGCACGAAAGCGUGGGGAGCAAACAGG
rnacentral:rRNA from 1 species